ensembl:lncRNA USP2-AS1 USP2 antisense RNA 1
AUACACAGAGAACCACGUGGAGGAAAAGCACGCGAGUUUGGAGCGGGUGGAGCAGGAACAGAGGUGGACUGGAAUGUCACACGACGGGGCAGCUGGAAGGGCACCACUGAGUUCAGUACUUCAAAAUUGCCGUGCUCUACCUCUCCCCAGUGCACAAAAACACUCUCCACACCAAGCUGCUGCUGCUGGGGGAUGGAGGGAUGGCGUCAGCGAUUCAAGACUGUUUUUCCUACCUGUUCAGCACUUCUUUCAGCGAUAUGAAGUUAAAUCCAGGCCAAGUUCCCACCUGGUGGGAAGCACUGUGCAGGUUCGUGGGGAUGCAGCCCUGCACAGCCCAGACUGGACUCCUUCCCCAUGGAACUCACAACACACGGGAGAGGCAGAGAGAUCCAAGCGCACAGAAAAACACAAGAAGAUUCAGCCCUGUCAUCUUGUGCAAAAAGGUGUGACUCAUAAGACUGGAAACUCCUGAACGUAGCAAGGAUGCUGGCAGCCAAGCCAAUGACUACAAACAUGAUAAAGUCCAUUACAAGGAUGGAAAGUCCACAGAACAGAAAA